rnacentral:lncRNA from 1 species
GCUAAUCCACCGAGCGCUAGCUCCAGGUGGCCAGCGAGACUGCACCAGACCGUAACCGGCCUGGACUCCAUUCCAGUGGAUCCCACCCGGCGCCUUGUUGGCCUCGCCUCGGUCCGAUUUUCUCUAAGAGCCUCGUACGCACGCAGCCUCGCCUCGCACGAUUCGCCCCGUUACGUGCAGUCGCCGCCUCGAGCUUCGUCAGGAGCCGCCGACCUCGUCGGUUUGCCCGAUCCGCCGACCGCAGCAGCACCAUCGCCGGAGUCAGCCACUGUCCGCCCGUUUGCCUCGUCUUCACCGGAGUUCAUCCGUGUUCGACCGUCUUCGCCGAAGCCGCCAUUUGUUGAAGUUUGUUCGACCGUCACCGGAACACCACCGCAGAGGAGCCACGCCUGAGACCGACUCGUUUUCCCCCGCUGUUCGUGGUAAGCACGUGUACGUCAUCCGGUUCAGCCAAUCCAUGAAGUUGCUACAGUACCCCUAUUAGUCCUGUUUUUAUCUGUUUUUAGCUCUGUCAGAUUCUCGGAAAGAUUUUCAAACGUGUUUAACUUUUUACUCGUAUCUCCGAAUCAGGAAAUUCUUUUUCCUGUGAUCUUGUAUUAACGAGUAGAAUUUGAUAGAACCAAUAGUUUUCAGGUUAUCAAUAUUUAAAAUUUUAGUUGGAUCAGAUUUAGUUCAAACCUCCCGGAAGCCAUAUUUUUGCAAACCGUUCAUCUAAUUUCAUUAAUUCUUUUUGCAUUGUGCUCCCACUAGCAUGUAGAUAAUAAAUACCUACUCAUAUGCUUCUGUUAUUUGGGUUUGAAUUGAAUUCUUUGUUGUUGAUUUUAUUUUGAUGUUAUGUGAGUACGGUUUAUUUAUCGUUGCCUUCUUCGAAUAUAUAUAGAUUUUCCGGAGUGUGGAGCGGAUCAGAAUUAAGCGUUAGAGUAUUUCAACAACGUUCAAGGCAAGUUUGCACUUUUGAUUUUGCUCAUCCUAUAUGUAUGCUUUGCAUUUUUAUGAUAUGUUAUGUGUUUGGUGUGAUUCUUAUAUUGCUUGUCGCCAUAUGUGUGUCCUGGAUUGCAUUGUUUAAUUAUGUGCUUGGAUAUGCUAUGGUAGACGUGGACCCGUACCGACUGUUUUAUGAAGUAGUGAGUGUUUAUAGCUGUACGCUCGGGGCUUUUGCUCGAGUGAAUGCGUCUAUGGCUGAGCGCUCUAUUGUCCCUAG